rnacentral:rRNA from 1 species
AUUGAACGCUGGCGGCAGGCCUAACACAUGCAAGUCGAGCGGAUGACGGGAGCUUGCUCCUUGAUUCAGCGGCGGACGGGUGAGUAAUGCCUAGGAAUCUGCCUGGUAGUGGGGGACAACGUUUCGAAAGGAACGCUAAUACCGCAUACGUCCUACGGGAGAAAGCAGGGGACCUUCGGGCCUUGCGCUAUCAGAUGAGCCUAGGUCGGAUUAGCUAGUUGGUGGGGUAAUGGCUCACCAAGGCGACGAUCCGUAACUGGUCUGAGAAGAUGAUCAGUCACACUGGAACUGAGAGACGGUCCAGACUCCUACGGGGGGCAGCAGUGGGGAAUAUUGGACAAUGGGCUAAAGCCUGAUCCAGCCAUGCCGCGUGUGUGAAGAAGGUCUUCGGAUUGUAAAGCACGUUAAGUUGGGAGGAAGGGCAGUAAGCUAAUACCUUGCUGUUUUGACGUUACCGACAGAAUAAGCACCGGCUAACUCUGUGCCAGCCGCCGCCGUAA